UACAGAGGUGGCAAGCGUUGUUCGGAAUUACUGGGCGUAAAGGGCGCGUAGGCGGCUUUUUAAGUCAGACGUGAAAUCCCCCGGCUUAACCUGGGAACUGCGUCUGAUACUGGGAAGCUUGAGUUCGGGAGAGGGAUGUAGAAUUCCAGGUGUAGCGGUGAAAUGCGUAGAUAUCUGGAGGAACACCGAUGGCGAAGGCGGGUCUCUGGGCCCGAUACUGACGCUGAGGAGCGAAAGCGUGGGGGAGCGAACAGG
rnacentral:rRNA from 1 species